rnacentral:tRNA from 1 species
GUGCUGGGGCUCAGAGGUAGUGCACUUGCCUGGCAUGUGUGAGGCACUGGGUUCAAUUCUCAGCACCACA